GACGAACGCUGGCGGCGUGCCUAACACAUGCAAGUCGAACGGAGAUGUUGAUUUCGGUUGACGUCUUAGUGGCGCACGGGUAAGUAACGCGUGAACAACCUGACCUUGAGAGGGGGAUAACAACGAGAAAUCGUUGCUAAUACCGCAUAAGACCACAACGCCGCAUGGCGAAGGGGUCAAAGGAGCAAUCCGCUCAGGGAGGGGUUCGCGUCCCAUUAGGUAGUAGGCGGGGUAACGGCCCACCUAGCCAGCGAUGGGUAGCCGAGCUGAGAGGCUGAUCGGCCACACUGGAACUGAGACACGGUCCAGACUCCUACGGGAGGCAGCAGUGGGGAAUAUUGGGCAAUGGGCGAAAGCCUGACCCAGCAACGCCGCGUGAGGGAAGAAGGUUUUCGGAUUGUAAACCUCUGUCGCAGAUGACGAAGGAAGUGACGGUAAUCUGUGAGGAAGCCCCGGCUAACUACGUG
rnacentral:rRNA from 1 species